rnacentral:rRNA from 1 species
UACGUAGGGGGCUAGCGUUGUCCGGAAUCAUUGGGCGUAAAGAGCGUGUAGGCGGCUCGAUAAGUCCGCUGUGAAAGUCCAGGGCUCAACCCUGGGAUGCCGGUGGAUACUGUCGGGCUCGAGUCCGGAAGAGGCGAGUGGAAUUCCUGGUGUAGCGGUGAAAUGCGCAGAUAUCAGGAGGAACACCAAUGGCGAAGGCAGCUCGCUGGGACGUGACUGACGCUGAGACGCGAAAGCGUGGGGAGCAAACAGG